rnacentral:rRNA from 1 species
UACGUAGGGUGCAAGCGUUGUCCGGAAUUAUUGGGCGUAAAGAGCUCGUAGGCGGUCUGUCGCGUCGGCUGUGAAAACCCGGAGCUCAACUCCGGGCCUGCAGUCGAUACGGGCAAAACUGGAGUGUUGCAGGGGGAGACUGGAAUUCCUGGUGUAGCGGUGAAAUGCGCAGAUAUCAGGAGGAACACCGGUGGCGAAGGCGGCGACCUGGGGUAGAUACUGACACUGAGGAGCGAAAGCGUGGGGAGCGAACAGG